rnacentral:rRNA from 1 species
AUUGAACGCUGGCGGCAGGCUUAACACAUGCAAGUCGAGCGGAGAUGAGGUGCUUGCACCUUAUCUUAGCGGCGGACGGGUGAGUAAUGCUUAGGAAUCUGCCUAUUAGUGGGGGACAACAUUCCGAAAGGAAUGCUAAUACCGCAUACGUCCUACGGGAGAAAGCAGGGGAUCUUCGGACCUUGCGCUAAUAGAUGAGCCUAAGUCGGAUUAGCUAGUUGGUGGGGUAAAGGCCUACCAAGGCGUCGAUCUGUAGCGGGUCUGAGAGGAUGAUCCGCCACACUGGGACUGGGACACGGCCCAGACUCCUACGGGAGGCAGCAGUGGGGAAUAUUGGACAAUGGGGGGAACCCUGAUCCAGCCAUGCCGCGUGUGUGAAGAAGGCCUUAUGGUUGUAAAGCACUUUAAGCGAGGAGGAGGCUACUGAGACUAAUACUCUUGGAUAGUGGACGUUACUCGCAGAAUAAGCACCGGCUAACUCUGUGCCAGCCGCCGCAGUAACAC